UCGUUAGAAACAAAAUGACUUGAAAAAAGGCAAAGGUUUAGUUUUGUGAUGGAGGAAAGUAUACCCUAAAUUGCUCAGAGCAUUAGUAGGAGUUAAUGGUACAGUAGAAAAAUCACACUUUAUCAACUGUUUUGAAUCAGCCAUAAUCCGUUUCUGAACUUAAUUCAGUUGUGUCUUGGUGGAAAUAUAGUGCAGAGACACUGCAAGUUCUGUACUAGGCUUUAAAGUAUAAAUACCUGUCCUAUCAUCUCUCUCUCAUUUUAUAUAUAUAUAUAUAUAUAUAUAUGCUUAUAUAUUUAUAAAAAGAAAAUAAUGUAUUAUUUCUUUGACUGAUGGCUCCUCCUACAUAUGGUAACCAGGAAUAGCACGUACACAUCAGCUCAUAGUCAGAGCCGUACCUCUUUUAGAUCAGUCCUGUUGAGCUAAUGUAAACACUAUGGUUUCUGUUCUAAAGCCUGAAAAUCUUGAAAUGCAGAAGAAAUGUUUUCCAUAUAUUUCUGACUGGCUGAAGAUCCACUUACAUAUUUAUUUUGUGUAGGGGUUGGGGGGGGGAGAUAAUUACAUGGAUUCCAGAUAAAUCAUUUUAUAAUUUGUGUAUUUUAGCAACAGUUAGGAUAAUAUUAAACAUAUUCUCAAAUGUAUCUUUUCUAUGUAAUGAAGUACUGUGAAGAUAACAGUGAAGCAUCACUUUGCUGUGGCGUAAGUAUUAAUCAUAUGUGUUACAUGGUUAAGAGCUAGGCAGCAGGGCGUGCUGGAACAACAAAGCUAUUGCUUAUUUAAAAAGAGAACAAAAAAAACCUGCUUUUUUUGUGCAUGAGAACUUUUUUGUAAGCAUGAAAAAUAACUUGGUUUUAGAGAUGUUAUUUUUACUCGAUUCUGUAUCUGGAUUCCUUCUCUGAGUUGGGCAAACGAUUUCUCAUCGCCUCAUUCUGUGGGAUGAUUUUAAUGUUAUGGCAACUUGGAUUCUUUCUCUCAAAUCCCAGAUGCUGCCAGGAGCCACUUAUUGCUGCGGGAAGCCCUGCGGGUGCAGCAGCAGUGAGCUGGUUUAAGCCUUGUGCUGUCUACUCCAAAAUUGGACCUAAGAGAAAGGUUUGUGGGCUUGGUUAUUAGAUCCCUGAAGGCUAGCAAGGCGUGUGUGCAGGCCUGGGGCUCCUCUGCUGCUGCUGGUUAAUUCUUGAGCUUCUGUUCUGCAAGAUGCAAGCAAGGUUUUCUCUAGCCAUGAUAGGCCAGGCGUUCUCCGGCUGCAUGGCCCUUCUCCUGAGUGCUGGAGACAUGGGGGCACUCUGAGCUGCCCUGGGAAAGGGGCUUCUGCCCAACGGGUCACUGCAGCGGAUCCUCACCCCCAGCUUUGUGCUCUGUGGUGAUGGGGCUGAAAGUCUGUAUUCUUGGAUUUCUCCUGGCUACAGAUCUGCUCUCUGUACCACUCCCAUAUUUCCCUGGACCAGAGUGUGAAUGACCAAGCUCCCUUUGCAGUUCUGAUGUGCUGCUGCAUCUCUUUUUACCUGAACUUUGCCAGCAUUUGAUUUUCUGUCUUUUGCUUUUCCACUUGUUGUGUUCCACCCCUCUUCUUUAGCUUCCUGUUAUUGCCCCAUCGGUUAUUUAUGAUACUUUUGGAAUUCUGUGGUAUCUCAAUGGAUUGUGUUUCAGCCAGGCUGUUAGAGUGUAAGACUUCAUUCUUUUGCCUCCUGUUUGUCUGGCAGAUGAACUUUCCCACCACUCCCCAUGUUUUUCAUAUCUUCCUCUCUCAGUGUCAGCACCAUUCCCCAGCUGCUGGAGGUGCCUGGGAUGCAUCCAUCGUCUCUCCUCUUUCUCAUCCCUCUCAUUGCCACUCUUAUUAAAAAAGAGAGAGUCCACUGUGCUUGCUUCAUCGGGCUUGGAACAAUCUUGGGUUAUGCUUUCCAGUAAUAGAAGUUUGCUGUGGCACUGUAAGCUGAGGUCACUCCGUGUCCCGGGCGGCUCCACCCUGCAGCAAACGUACGCAACUGUGCUAUGGAUCCCUGAACGUUCCCAGUGGAAUUGCUGUCACAGCCUUAACUCUAGUAUUAUACAAAUGGUGCUUAAAUACAUUUAUGUGCAUGGAUGUGGGUACCUGAUACAAGAACUCAAAACGGAGCAGCUUAGCGCUGCAUUGGAGACUCGCUACUCCUGGGAAAUAACUGCAGCCACGUUGGUGAACUUCCAGAUGUGGAGCUCUCUGGAAAAUACGUAACCUCGGGGACAGUUAAGGGCAGUCGCUCCAUUCUCGGGUUGCUUUUUGCAUUGGCAGAGCUGGGCGGGAUGGGACAGGGGCUGCUGCUCUGGAAAACCCCAGAUGUAUUCAGAAAUCUGAGUCUGGUUGUUUUUUUUUCCAUAGAAAUAUCAAUAUAGGCUUUUCAUUCCUACAUGCGUUGUUAUAGCAGACUUUGCUUAGAAGUACCGGUCCUUACCGCUGGUGUUGGAGCAGUGACAUUCACCACAUUUAGGCUCUACAGUUCAUGCUCUGGAUGACUUCAAAUACUCCAAGAAUGCACAAAGCUAUUAGAAUUAUAUACUUUCUCUGUUGAUUUGUGGUUUUUUUUUUUUUUCAGGUGAUAUUUAUGCCCAUAUCUUCACAUCCGCUAUCUCAGGUCCCUUUAAAUGAAUACUUCAGGGAUUUUGAUGCCAUUUGUUGGCAGACCAAAUGUAAUAUUUAUAUGCAAUGAGCUGUUAGUUUUUGUAUUGUACAAAUGUAAAUUUGUAAAGAUUUUUUUCUAGAGUUUUUUUGAAGUCACUUAUGUAAUCUAGGAUGUUUCAUUUUCCAGCUGUGGGAUUGUC
ensembl:lncRNA